UCUUGCUGUUUUAAUCUACUUGUAGCAAAACACAAUAUUGUAUCGAAUCUGUAAUCUUCCUUAACACUUUUGGUAUUUGGGCAUUUUCUUUGGACUGAGUUUGGCUUUCCUGAAUGCAGUUUACCAAAUUUCUUUUCUGUUAUAUUUUGUUGGAUGGCUAUGUAGUUAGUGCUAAAUUAGGCCAAGCUCCUGCUGGAAAGGCUGCCUUAGGUGAAGCUACAAUGCUUGCUGCUCAAACUAUGGUUGUUGAAAAUAUGUAAAUUUGUCAUUAAUCAUUCGGGAAUGAGCAUUACCUGCUGUGGACAUUGUCUUGUGCAUUGACGGGGCUGCUGCUUUGUCCUGGUCAGUGGAGCCAUGGUAGUGAAACUCGGAUUGGACGUUAUUGCUAGAAUCAGAGGCUAUGCUGAUGCUGCACAGCCACCUGAGUUGUUUACAAUUGCUCCAGCCAUUGCGAUACCUAGAGCAAUCUCAAAAUCUGGGUUGAAAGCAUCUGACAUUGAUUUUUAUGAAAUCUAUGACGCCUUCUCUGUCAGAGUCCAUGUUGCAUUUAUAUGAUAUUAGAGUAUCCUUCUUUCUAGCUAAUCUAGAAAGUGUUUUAACUUCAUUUCCACAGGUUGUCGCUCUCUCAAAUCAGAGGUUGCUCAAUAUUGACCCUGUGAGUUUUUAUCUAAUCUAUGAUGAUAUCUGUCACAAUAUAGACACCCCUUCUUUGUCUUUUUUGCAUUUCUGUGCUGUUUAUUUGAUUCUAAUGCUACUGUUGGUCCUUGUUUAUUGUAUUCUUUCUCGAAACAUGAAUAAUAUUGCAUAAAUGUCAGCAAGUACAUUCAAUGACUAGAUAUUUGCUAGUUUCUUCACAUGGUAGAAAUUUAUUCUCUCAAUAUCCUAUCGCAUAAGCUAACACAGCUAAGAUAAUUGACUGGCAUGUGACAGAAGUGGGCAUACAACCCUGAUCCUUCCGAAGGAAGAGGGCUUCAAACAGGGGUAAGUUGAUUAUUAUCAGAACCCCAUUCAAAAGAAUCUGUAAUGCAAAAGAAUCCAAAUCUGUUACUGGCUUCUUGAUAAUGAUGCUUCUGGCGAUUGAGAUUGAUGUAAGGAGAUUGAACAGUGCAAUUGUUGCUAAAAUGAUGAACAUUGAUGAAGCUGCGCCAAAUUCCAUUAUCUCUUGCUCAAAUCUUUUAAUUACAUCACCGUCCACAUUCUUCCCAGUGAUUGCAAAAUCCAACUUUGCGAAGCCCAAGUACCUCAUGAUUGUUUGGCAGAAUCCAAAAAGAUAACUGGAAUAUCUGAAAGUUUCCUUCGGACCAUCGAGUGUGCUGAAUUAAUGUACCUAACAGCGUCACAGGAGCUACUCCCAAGAAUCCUUUCCUCCCUGGGUUAAAGUGGACUGAUCUCCAUCCCUUGCACUUUAUUGAUAAUCCAGUAACCACAUCUUCAACAGGACAUCCAUACUUCAACCCCAUCUUGAGAGCAUCUCGUUUGUGGAAACAGCAACUGCCAACGUAUAGUGGCCCUCCAUGUGCAUCCAUGGCUAGAAUCUCUACCUUCAGUUACCAGUAAAGCAUUCUGAUAAACUCUUCGUACUUGAAGAAUGGUGUGGUGGUUGCUUCUGCUUGCGCCCGAUUCCCAUUCACAGAGUCCUUUGUGAUGCUUCCUCAAAUGAUCAGGAACUCUCCCCAGCUUCAUGAUGUCAGUUAUUUGCGCCU